rnacentral:tRNA from 1 species
GGCGUCGUAGAUCAGUUGGCUAGAGCGUUGGUAGUACUAAAACCUUCCUUUUAUUGGCGUGGGUUCAAAUCCCACCGAGGCCG